CCUACGGGUGGCAGCAGUGAGGAAUAUUGGUCAAUGGACGAGAGUCUGAACCAGCCAAGUAGCGUGAAGGAUGACUGCCCUAUGGGUUGUAAACUUCUUUUAUAUGGGAAUAAAACAGGGUAUGCAUACCCUCUUGUAUGUACCAUAUGAAUAAGGAUCGGCUAACUCCGUGCCAGCAGCCGCGGUAAUACGGAGGAUCCGAGCGUUAUCCGGAUUUAUUGGGUUUAAAGGGAGCGUUGGUGGGUUGUUAAGUCAGUUGUGAAAGUUUGCGGCUCAACCGUAAAAUUGCAGUUGAAACUGGCAGUCUUGAGUACAGUAGAGGUAUGCGGAAUGCGCAGUGUAGCGGUGAAAUGCUUAGAUAUUGCGCAGAACUCCGAUUGCGAAGGCAGCAUACCGGCGGCGAUCUGACGCUGAGGCACGAAAGCGUGGGUAUCGAACAGGAUUAGAUACCCGGGUAGUC
rnacentral:rRNA from 1 species